UACCAGCACCCAGAGUGGUCGGGACGUUUAUUGGGCCUAAAGCAUCCGUAGCCGGUUCUACAAGUCUUCCGUUAAAUCCACCUGCUUAACAGAUGGGCUGCGGAAGAUACUAUAGAGCUAGGAGGCGGGAGAGGCAAGCGGUACUCGAUGGGUAGGGGUAAAAUCCGUUGAUCCAUUGAAGACCACCAGUGGCGAAGGCGGCUUGCCAGAACGCGCUCGACGGUGAGGGAUGAAAGCUGGGGGAGCAAACCGG
rnacentral:rRNA from 1 species